rnacentral:rRNA from 1 species
CCCUACGGGGGGCAGCAGUAGGGAAUCUUCCACAAUGGACGAAAGUCUGAUGGAGCAACGCCGCGUGAGUGAAGAAGGGUUUCGGCUCGUAAAGCUCUGUUGGUAGUGAAGAAAGAUAGAGGGAGUAACUGGCCUUUAUUUGACGGUAAUUACUUAGAAAGUCACGGCUAACUACGUGCCAGCAGCCGCGGUAAUACGUAGGUGGCAAGCGUUGUCCGGAUUUAUUGGGCGUAAAGCGAGUGCAGGCGGUUCCAUAAGUCUGAUGUGGAAGCCUUUCGCCCAACCGGGG